GAUGAACGCUGGCGGCGUGCCUAACACAUGCAAGUCGAACGACCCCUUCGGGGUAGUGGCAGACGAGUGAGUAACGCGUGGGAAUCUACCCCAGACACAGGAAUACCUGGCCGAAAGGUUAGUUAAUACCUGAUAUUCUCGCAAGAGAAAAGCUCCGGCGGUUUGGGAUGAGCCUGCGUCCUAUCAGCUUGUUGGUGAGGUAAUGGCUCACCAAGGCUAUGACGGGUAGCUGGACCGAGAGGUUGACCAGCCACGAUGGGACUGAGACACGGCCCAUACACCUACGGGUGGCAGCAGUGAGGAAUCGUGCGCAAUGGACGAAAAGUCUGACGCCGCGACGCCGCGUGAAGGAAGACGGCCCUACGGGUUGUAAACUUCUUUUGUAAGGGAAUAAAAGUGCAGUACGCGUACUGUUUUGCAUGUACCUUACGAAUAAGGAUCGGCUAACUCCGUG
rnacentral:rRNA from 1 species